rnacentral:misc_RNA from 1 species
GGAUGAAGAACGUAGCGAAAUGCGAUAAGUAAUGUGAAUUGCAGAAUUCCGUGAAUCAUCGAAUCUUUGAACGCACAUUGCGCCCUCUGGUAUUCCGGGGGGCAUGCCUGUCCGAGCGUCAUUUGCAACCCUCAAGCCCGGCUUGUGUGAUGGGUGCCGUCCCCUACGGGACGCGCCCCGAAGGCAAUGGCGGCGUCGCGGUUAUCCGAUCAGCCAAAGUGUAUGGGGCUUUGUCACUCACUUUACGGCCCGGACCGGCGCCAGUCCGAAUCAAUCUUUUUUCUAAAGUUGACCUCGGAUCAGGUAGGGAUACCCGCUGAACUUAAGCAUAUCAAUAAGCGGAGGA